AAUCCUCAGAGGAGCAUUGGAAGUUUUGAUUGGACAUUUUCUCCGAUGACUUUGAAGGCAGCAGGUCCUUCAGGAAAAAGGCUUCCUUAUCCACUGUUAUCCCAGGAACCCGGUGAGAGCUGUGGAAGUGAUGCAGGAGGGAACAGAUGGGCCGCAUUAAUCGUCCGUGUAUGUUUAAGCAGAAAGGUAUUUAUUUGCGUGAGUGGCCGAGGGCUGGAAUUAAACGGUGCAGGAGAGGGAAGAAGGAGGGACGGCGAGAACUUCCCGCUCCGCAGAUCUCAUUGAAAAAGCGACGUUUUCACGAGAUCACAGCGAUCAGGUUGCAAAGCAGAAAGCUUUCAGGGAAAUCUAAAUAAAUGGGAGUGAAACGGAGAUCUGCAUGAAGGAGAGGAGCUCCGUGUUUACAGCCUCUUUGGAGACCUGAAACGGACCUCCGCAUAAAUAAAUACCACUGCUACAGGAAGUUCAGCCUCUUCGCCUCAGGCCCCGCUUGGUUUUAUUAGCUGCAGUCCUGCAGAGAUAGCAAACAAUAAGACCUGCUGCCCUUCCUCCUCCUCCUCCUCCUCUUCCUCCGCCUCAGCUGCUGUCGAAAAGAAGUGAUCCUACAUGAAACCCCCCCUGAGAACAGAACCGAUGUUGGACAGAAGAGUUCAGCGGGUCGGGCUCAGAGGCACAUCCGCAGCGUUUCAACCCAAAGUCGCCGCUUCUGUCGGCUCUGAUUCAGAUUUAAGUGAAAUAUUGAUUAACAGUGUGACCCUGAAUGCAUCAUAGAGAGCUGUUUCCCAGCUCAGCAUUUUAAGCAUCACUAAAUAAAAUGAAUGGAAACCAGGUGUUUCUGCAGCUCUUCUGACCCUUUCUGAUGUUAUUUUUUAUGUUCAAACAUGCUGUUCAGCACAUUAUUCAGCUGCUUUAUGCAGAUUUCUUACAGUAACUUUAAAAUUUGGUGGAAAAUCCAGCUUUUUUUCCAGCUGUUUUGCACAUUUUGCAGGAAACAUCAAAAACUGUUGGAUUCAUGCAAACAUUUCAAACCUGGACUUUAGCCAUUGACGGCAUUCUGGCAGGUUUGAAGCUGGUAGAAUUUCUCUUUGCUCUAAAACGUUCCAUGCUUUAGAAUGUAUUCUGUCUUAUUAAGAGCUAGGAAUCCACAUAAGGAAAUGAGUAUUGAAAUAAGCACAAUAGAAAAACGUGAUUGAAAUGUCCAUAUAACACCUAAAUGUUUUUUAUUAAACGGACAUGGAGAAGUCCCAUUAAAUCUCUCCGUUUUUAACAUUGAACACUGUGGUUUUGAAGACCACAGGAGGAUUUAUUAAGAUUGUUUUCUCAUUUUGUUGUCAUUUUGCUCUAAAAGGAGUCGUUUCCAUGCGUUAAACUGCUUUUUGUCUCAGGAAUCAAAAUAAAAUACAAUUAGCUACAUAGAACCAUUUGCUUAGAACUAGCAAACAAGUACUUAUCAGUGGGCUGUAUGUCAUUCAAUUUGAAGUCAUUCCAUUCAACAGUUAGCUCUUUUGAGGUAUCUUUCCCUCUUGGAAUGUUUUUUUGGGGUUUUCAUAUGAUUUCAUGUCAAAUAAAAAAGACUCGCUGCAUGCACAGAUCAGAUCAUCUGACCACUUUCUAGUGAUUUUCUUCUUAAGACCAGUACUUUCUUUUAUUGUAAGGCUAUGUCUCAUGAAAAAGGACUGUAAGACAUAGCCUCAGUGUCCUUGUGGGAGAGUGUCUGCCCUGUGACUGGAAGGUCGUGGGUUCAAUUCCAGGCCACAAAUGUGGAGAACAACUGUCACACCCCUACUGUAGGUGCAAUACAACGUCUUACAGCAGGGGUGUCAAACUCAUUUUGGUUCGGGGGCCACAUUCAGCCCGUCUGACCUCAAGUGGGCCGUACCAGUAACGUAAAAGCAAAAUAACAGCUUUGUUUUAGUUUUUUACUCAGUUGGAAAAAAUGCCUCAACCAACAUAGCAGCCUAAUCACUUGGGGCCAAUGGAUCUCAAAUAAAAUUAAUUUCAAUUAAAAAAAACGUUGGUCUAUUCAAAUUAAUACAGACUGAAUAUUUUACAUCUGAGACUGAAGCAAUCCAGAAGCUUUUCUUUAUGGUGAGUCUUUUAGUGGUGCUGAAUGUUAUAAUCUUUGAGCACUGCAAUGUUGAUGACAUAUAAAGCAUUUGGGUUUUGCAUUCAGCUUCGGGAAAGAAAAAAAAAUCUGUCCAUUUUCCUGGAAAUCUCUUCACUCCACUUCACAUUUGACAAAAUUUUGGUCAUUAAGGUGUCACUACUGAUCAUCCUUAGAGCAAGAUAACAGCGGUAAGGCUCAUAGGGAACCAAAGUGCAUCUUAUCCAGACACAGAGCUGUUAUGUUUAGCUUUUGGCACGUGCAGAGAUAUGCUGUUUCACCUGUUUUGCCCUUCCUUUGCUCCCCCUAGUGGCGGAAUUGCACAUUUUGGUUAUUUCUUUAAAAAAUCAUAACUCGCCACAGGAAUGGACUAGAAACUUGCUUUCUUAUUUAAUCAUGCUUAGGAUUUUUACUCAUGUGUGGGCCGGACUAAACCACCUGGUGGGCCGGAAACGGCCCAUAUGUUUGACAUCCCUGUCUUACAGGAUAGCUAGCUACAAAUGCUAGCUUAGUUGCUACACAUGUCUUUUUUCAGCAAAAGUUUACCUCCUACGUCUGAUGGAGUACGUAGCAGUUCAUUUAUCCAUUCUGCUGCUUUUUACGGCUAUCAUUUCUAGACAUUAUUUAUGAAGCUUUUCUACAAUUUAUACAAACAGGAAGAUCUACCACACAUCCAUGCACGCUGGGCUGCUACUACAUCACAUCCUCAAUAAGGCCUUCACUUUCAACCAAUGGCUAAAUAGCGCGCCUUUUUACAGCCAAUCAUACUGUCACCUUAAAAUACAUGAAUGCUUUUAUUUUGGAAGCACCAUCAGCGUUUAGGCUGUAAAGGUUUAUACAUCUAUGGUCUCAACAGCCGGGACAGACUUUCAGAAACCCUGUGAGCCCAAAAGAGUUUUAGCGGGUAACGAUGAUGGCUGGAAGAGAAGAAAAUGGACGGUCUUAGUUCAUACACAGCAUGCACGUAUUGAUCAGCCCGAGCCAAACCGUCACGUCUUUUGCUUAUUUUCCGCCGUUUUCCACUUAUUUCGAUCAGUGAAUCUGUUAACAGGUUGAUUGUCCAAUGGGUGUGCUCCCAAUUAUUGAGAAUUCUUCUCAGGUGUGUUCCCUGUGGUCAUGCCAUGUCACUGCCUAUUUAAACUGCACCAAUAAACAAUUGAUUGUAUGUUCUGACUGCAGACUGUGUCCCGGUGUGUGCUUUUGCUCCCCUUUAGAAAGCCACGUUUAACAGAAUUAGAUUUUUGUGUCACAUCCACCUUUCAACCCCAUUCUGGCACUUUUUUCAGGAUUUCCAGAUCAUUAGGGUUAUGUGUCUGUUUUUUAGCAAAACUAAUGAAUCAUGAUGACUUUUUUUUAAAGUCAAAGACUUUGAAAUCUUCUUUUGUGCCUUUUACUUGUAAGUCCAUCAUGGAAGCUUUUGUUAAUAUAAGUCAUUCCUUUGACUUUUAAAAUCAUUCAUUAUUCUGUUGACUCUGUUUGAUUAUUUACAAAACAAGAGCUGAGCGCCCCCUAGUGUUGGUGAUCCUGUCAGGGUCAGUGAGAGUUUACGGUACCAAACAGAACCUGAGCCUCACGACAGAUUCUGAACAGAAAAUGUUGUUUUGAUGGUCAUUCACCAGCAGAGCUUCUCACUGCUCACAUUCUUGAAUAAUUGAGGCCGCAGCCGGAGGAGGAGGAGGCUCGGCGCGGAGGCGGCAGGUGGACAGGUGUGCUGGGGGAGGAGGCGGGGGCGCAGAACAACAGCUUGCUCUCAGCAGGGGUCCCGGGAAGAAGCAGGCCGGCACGUAUCCAUUGCACUGCUCUCACAGCGUCCACCUGACACCGGCUCAGAGCGCGAGGAAGAGGAGGGAGUGCUGGAGGUCCACAGAGCAAAAGGCUCAACCGGGCCCAACGCUGAUCUGUGUUUCUGUUGAUGUCAGAGAAUCCAAAGAGCUGGCGUGUGGUCCGGUGACUUUAACAGUAGAGGCUGUAUGAGGUAAGUGGAAGUUCAGAACCACGCCGCAGCCCUGUGGGGACCAACCGUCUCAGGCUACCGAAGGUUCUGUUCUGGGCCCGGAUCGUAGCAACGCAAAUGGGCAAAACCAGGAUGAGAGGCAACCAGGACCCGGGCCGUUAAGUUCUGGAGAGGAACCCAGACCCACCUGAGUCCAAGACUUCAGAGGAGCUCUGAUCUUUGACCUCCUUCAGAAUAAAAGCACGUUCACGAGGUGCUGUGAAGAACACCAGGGUCAUGAUGGGGUUCAGGCAGUUCAGGUAGAUGUUCCUCCCCACCUCAGUAACCCCCCCACCACCACCACCACCACUCCCACAGAACCUACAGUAGUUUAUUAUGAGAGCCAGCCGCAUGUGAUUGUGGGAGGGGGAGGGGGGCUGCCAUCAGCCUCUCCAAGGUGACCCCCGCCAAAGCUGGCAUCACAUCUGUGGGCAGUAAGAACGGCCAUCAGGCAGUUGCCCGGCGGGGGGGGGGAGGGGGCUCCGUUUACAUAUUGGAUCUCAGAUGGAUCCCGGAUGCU
rnacentral:lncRNA from 1 species